AGAUUGGCGUUGACUCCGCCUAUACUCGGCGCAUGCCGAUACGGCCGAAGUUUGCCGAAGCCCGCCCGGGCCCUGCCCGUCCAUUAGGAUGCACUUGGUGCUUAGUGGCCAGAUAUCACACAGUGGGCAAGACAUACGGUGGUGAUGUACAUGUUCAAAACCCAUCGCAAUCACUAAUGUGACGGGAGAGAGAGAGGGUAUGAAAUAUAGAUGACGGAGAACGACUUGCGAGUACAUACCGUUGGUUGGCAUUUUUCGACACCGAAAUCGAGAUGGAGACGAACGGCCCGGCCCGGAGUUGUCGCUUAUUCUCAGUAAUAAUUUUACACAAAGUGCUGAAGCUAAAGUGUAGAAAAAGGUUAAAUAUUUUCACUUAAGUGUGUUCACACAGGAAUAAAGGCAGCGAAACCAUCUUUCUGUGGUUCACGUGUGUGUGUGUGCUAUGAACUGUGUCUAGAAAAAGGGACGUGCAAAAAAAGGAUAAUAAAAUUAUUGCUUUGCUUGUACUAAAGCGUGUUUUGUGAAA